rnacentral:rRNA from 1 species
GACGAACGCUGGCGGCGUGCUUAACACAUGCAAGUCGAACGAGAAGAGAUGAGAAGCUUGCUUCUUAUCAAUUCGAGUGGCAAACGGGUGAGUAACGCGUAAGCAACCUGCCCUUCAGAUGGGGACAACAGCUGGAAACGGCUGCUAAUACCGAAUACGUUCUUUUUGUCGCAUGGCAGAGGGAAGAAAGGGAGGCUCUUCGGAGCUUUCGCUGAAGGAGGGGCUUGCGUCUGAUUAGCUAGUUGAGGGUAACGGCCACCAAGGCGACGAUCAGUAGCCGACCUGAGAGGGUGACCGGCACAUUGGACUGAGACACGGCCCAAACUCCUAC